rnacentral:rRNA from 1 species
UACGUAGGGAGCAAGCGUUGUCCGGAAUCAUUGGGCGUAAAGAGCGCGUAGGCGGCCCGAUAAGUCCGCUGUGAAAGUCAAGGGCUUAACCCUUGAAUGCCGGUGGAAACUGUCGGGCUAGAGUCCGGAAGAGGCGAGUGGAAUUCCUGGUGUAGCGGUGAAAUGCGUAGAUAUCUGGAGGAACACCGGUGGCGAAGGCGGCAUCCUGGACCGGCAUUGACGCUGAGGAGCGAAAGCCAGGGGAGCAAACGGG